UAUUGCUCUUGAAACCGAGGAAUCCCUAGUAAGCACAAGUCACUAGCUUGUGCUGAUUACGUCCCUGCCCUUUGUACACACCGCCCGUCGCUACUACCGAUUGAAUGGCUUAGUGAGGCCCUCGGAUCGGAGGUGAGGACUGGCAACAGACCUCGCUUCCAAGAAGUUGGUCAAACUUGGUCAUUUAGAGGAAGUAAAAGUCGUAACAAGGUUUCCGUAGGUGAACCUGCGGAAGGAUCAUU
rnacentral:rRNA from 1 species